GAUGAGGUGGCCGAGUGGAUAAGGUGAUGGGCUGCUGAUCCUUUGUGCUCUGCACGCGUGGGUUCGAAUCCCAUCUUUGUCG
rnacentral:tRNA from 1 species